AUUCACAGAGUGUGCAAGCAGCUGAGUGAGAGAUUUUCAAGCGUGGAUGUAACUGCACUGUGAGAGAACCUGAAAAUAGUGCACAGAAGAGAAAUAUUCAGCUGAGAUGCCCAGUGGACUUGCUUAGGCCGGAAAAGCAGGGUGUCUGAGAUGCUAUUUUCCAAUUAUAAGAAAAAAAAGGCAGUGGAGGUUUGCCGAGUCGUUGCUGCCACUCUUCUGCUUGAUCGGCUGAGCGUUUCUGCAAAGCGUACCUGCUCGCUAUCAAGCAACGAUCCCAGCAAAGCUUUGAGGUCUUGAGCCUAAACUGUGGGGAAGGUUCAGACAGAAGAUGCUUAAAAAGACAAGGGAUUGUUGGACAAAUGGCAGAAAAAACAAACCUGAAACAGGGCCUCGAGUUUACUUGUUGAACUCCCCAAUAACCUCUGUGAGGAGUCAAAACCAGAGUCGCUAAAACGGGUCCUUUGCUCGAUUAAGGUGAAUAGAGUUUGAUAAACAUUAUAUUAGUUCGCUCUGAAUUUUUCUUUAGGCUUGUGAUAGUGUAUAAAAACGAUGCAUAGUACAAAAACUGUAUUUCAAUAAAAUUACAUAAUGUAGUUUUCGCUUGAACCAUCUUCAGUUGGUGAAAUGAAUACUGAACAGGUUAUAAAUACAUUUAAAGGCAGCUAAUGUUUUCCUCAAAGAUGCAACGUAUGUAUCAAGUACACCUCGAUUACAGUUAAAUUGGGUAAAUAAGAGACUUAUAGAAUUGAUUCAUGUUAUGUAUUGAUUACUGAAAC